AGAGUUUGAUCAUGGCUCAGGACGAACGCUGGCGGCGUGCUAAUACAUGCAAGUCGAGCGAGCGGAACCAACAGAUUUACUUCGGUAAUGACGUUGGGAAAGCGAGCGGCGGAUGGGUGAGUAACACGUGGGGAACCUGCCCCUAAGUCCGGGAUACCAUUUGGAAACAGGUGCUAAUACCGGAUAAUAAAGCAGAUCGCAUGAUCAGCUUUUGAAAGGCGGCGUAAGCUGUCGCUAAGGGAUGGCCCCGCGGUGCAUUAGCUAGUUGGUAAGGUAACGGCUUACCAAGGCGACGAUGCAUAGCCGAGUUGAGAGACUGAUCGGCCACAUUGGGACUGAGACACGGCCCAAACUCCUACGGGAGGCAGCAGUAGGGAAUCUUCCACAACGGACGCAAGUCUGAUGGAGCAACGCCGCGUGAGUGGAGAAGGUUUUCGGAUCGUAAAGCUCUGUUGUUGGUGAAGAAGGAUAGAGGUAGUAACUGGCCUUUAUUUGACGGUAAUCAACCAGAAAGUCACGGCUAACUACGUGCCAGCAGCCGCGGUAAUACGUAGGUGGCAAGCGUUGUCCGGAUUUAUUGGGCGUAAAGCGAGCGCAGGCGGAAAAAUAAGUCUAAUGUGAAAGCCCUCGGCUUAACCGAGGAACUGCAUCGGAAACUGUUUUUCUUGAGUGCAGAAGAGGAGAGUGGAACUCCAUGUGUAGCGGUGGAAUGCGUAGAUAUAUGGAAGAACACCAGUGGCGAAGGCGGCUCUCUGGUCUGCAACUGACGCUGAGGCUCGAAAGCAUGGGUAGCGAACAGGAUUAGAUACCCUGGUAGUCCAUGCCGUAAACGAUGAGUGCUAAGUGUUGGGAGGUUUCCGCCUCUCAGUGCUGCAGCUAACGCAUUAAGCACUCCGCCUGGGGAGUACGACCGCAAGGUUGAAACUCAAAGGAAUUGACGG
rnacentral:rRNA from 1 species